UACGAGGGGGGCAAGCGUUGUUCGGAAUUAUUGGGCGUAAAGGGUGUGUAGGCGGUGCGGUAAGUCUUUAGUGAAAUCUCUGGGCUCAACCCAGAGUCUGCUGGAGAAACUGCCGUGCUUGAGUGUGGGAGAGGUGAGUGGAAUUUCCGGUGUAGCGGUGAAAUGCGUAGAUAUCGGAAGGAACACCUGUGGCGAAAGCGGCUCACUGGACCACAACUGACGCUGAGACACGAAAGCUAGGGGAGCAAACAGG
rnacentral:rRNA from 1 species